rnacentral:rRNA from 1 species
AAUGAACGCUGGCGGUGUGCCUAAUACAUGCAAGUCGAACGACCACAUAGGAAGCUUGCUCCUCUACGGUUAGCGGCUGACGGGUGAGUGACACAUAGAUCGCCUACCUCUUAUACUGGGGUAACUUCGGGGAGCAGCAUCUGCUAAUGGCUCAUAUGUUGUACCGCUUGAUUCAAUGGUUAUUCGCGGUUUGGCUGUCUCUUUGAGCCGGUGUCGGAUUAGCUAGGUGGUUGGGUAAAGGCCCACCAAGGCAACGAUACGUAGCCGACCUGAGAGGAUGAUCGGCCACACUGGAACUGAGACACGGUCCAGACUCCUACGGGAGGCAGCAGUAGGGAAUCUUCGGCAAUGGGCGAAAGCCUGACGGAGCCAUGCCGCGUGGGUGAUGAAGGUCUUCGGAUUGUAAAACCCUGUUAUUAGGAAAGAAAAAAAGUGGAAUAAUAUACGGACGUCUUGACGGUACCUAAUCAGAAAGCCACGGCUAACUUCGUG